rnacentral:rRNA from 1 species
GAUGAACGCUGGCGGCGUGCCUAAUACACGCAAGUCGAGCGAACAGACGAGGAGCUUGCUCCUCUGACGUUAGCGGCGGACGGGUGAGUAACACGUGGAUAACCUACCUAUAAGACUGGGAUAACGUCGGGAAACCGGAGCUAAUACCGGAUAAUAUAUUGAACCGCAUGGUUCAAUAGUGAAAGACGGUUUUGCUGUCACUUAUAGAUGGAUCCGCGCCGCAUUAGCUAGUUGGUAAGGUAACGGCUUACCAAGGCAACGAUGCGUAGCCGACCUGAGAGGGUGAUCGGCCACACUGGAACUGAGACACGGUCCAGACUCCUACGGGAGGCAGCAGUAGGGAAUCUUCCGCAAUGGGCGAAAGCCUGACGGAGCAACGCCGCGUGAGUGAUGAAGGUCUUCGGAUCGUAAAACUCUGCUAUUAGGGAAGAACAAAUGUGUAAGUAACUAUGCACGUCUUGACGGUACCUAAUCAGAAAGCCACGGCUAACUACGUG